UACGAAGGGGGCUAGCGUUGCUCGGAAUUAUUGGGCGUAAAGCGCGCGUAGGCGGUUACUCAAGUCGGAUGUGAAAGCCCUCGGCUUAACUGAGGAAGUGCACCCGAAACUGAGUAGCUAGAGUACUAGAGAGGGUCGCGGAAUUCCCGGUGUAGAGGUGAAAUUCGUAGAUAUCGGGAGGAACACCGGUGGCGAAGGCGGCGACCUGGGUAGAUACUGACGCUGAGGCGCGAAAGCGUGGGGAGCAAACAGG
rnacentral:rRNA from 1 species